GCGGGUGUAGCUCAAUGGUAGAGCGGCAACUUCCCAAGCUGUUGACGUGGGUUCGAUUCCCAUCACCCGCU
rnacentral:tRNA from 1 species